GAUGAACGCUGGCGGCGUGCCUAAUACAUGCAAGUCGAGCGAACAGACGAGGAGCUUGCUCCUCUGACGUUAGCGGCGGACGUGUGAGUAACACGUGUAUAACCUACCUAUAAGACUGGGAUAACUUCGGGAAGCCGGAGCUAAUACCGGAUAAUAUAUUGAACCGCAUGGUUCAAUAGUGAAAGACGGUUUUGCUGUCACUUAUAGAUGGAUCCGCGCCGGAUUAGCUAGUUGGUAAGGUAACGGCUUACCAAGGCGACGAGGCGUAGCCGACCGGAGAGGGUGAUCGGCCACACUGGAACUGAGACACGGUCCAGACUCCUACGGGAGGCAGCAGUAGGGAAUCUUACGCAAUGGGCGAAAACAUGACGGAGCAACGCCGCGUGAGUGAUGAAGGUCUUCGGAUCGUAAAACUCUGUUAUGAGGGAAGAACAAAUGUGUAAGUAACUAUACACGUAUUGACGGUAACUAAUCAGAAAGCAACGGCUAACUACGUG
rnacentral:rRNA from 1 species